rnacentral:rRNA from 1 species
UGCGCAGGCGGUUAUGCAAGACAGAUGUGAAAUCCCCGGGCUCAACCUGGGAACUGCAUUUGUGACUGCAUGGCUAGAGUACGGUAGAGGGGGAUGGAAUUCCGCGUGUAGCAGUGAAAUGCGUAGAUAUGCGGAGGAACACCGAUGGCGAAGGCAAUCCCCUGGACCUGUACUGACGCUCAUGCACGAAAGCGUGGGGAGCAAACAGGAUUAGAUACCCUGGUAGUCCACGCCCUAAACGAUGUCAACUGGUUGUUGGGAGGGUUUCUUCUCAGUAACGAGCUAACGCGUGAAGUUGACCGCCUGGGGAGUACGGCCGCAAGGUUGAA